AAAUUUGAUUUUCUUGAACAUGAGUAGCAACUCAUGUCUAAUUUGUUAUGUACUUGGUAGAAGGCUGGUUUUUUACUUACAGGAAAGCAAGCUGUAGACCUGUCUUCAAAAUAGAACUUCAUUUGCUUUGGUUAGUAGAAGUUCAUGAUUUAGAUGGUUUAUCAGCAUCCUGAAACCUGAACGAAUGAGAAGCAGGCUUAUUUUUGAAGCUGAUUGUAGAAAGAGCAGGUUCUACUUUGAAAGCAGUAGUGGCAAUUAGUGUGUUAUGGACUGCUGUGUGAUUUUUCUCCUGUCUUUUCCCUUUAGCUGUUUUCAUUCUGAAGAUGAUUUGUGAGGUUUGAAGGUUCUAUUUAAUGUAACGCAUGCUUUAGUCCCAAGAAAUUUAAUUUGGAAUAGAUGUUAGAACCUUGUGGGUUUGUGAUUCUAA
rnacentral:misc_RNA from 1 species